CCAGACUCCUACGGGAGGCAGCAGUGGGGAAUAUUGCACAAUGGGGGAAGCCCUGAUGCAGCGACGCCGCGUGAGUGAAGAAGUAUUUCGGUAUGUAAAGCUCUAUCAGCAGGGAAGAAAAUGACGGUACCUGACCAAGAAGCCCCGGCUAACUACGUGCCAGCAGCCGCGGUAAUACGUAGGGGGCAAGCGUUAUCCGGAUUUACUGGGUGUAAAGGGAGCGUAGACGGUGAUGCAAGUCAGAAGUGAAAGCCCGGGGCUCAACUCCGGGACUGCUUUUGAAACUGUGUAACUGGAGUGCAGGAGAGGUAAGCGGAAUUCCUAGUGUAGCGGUGAAAUGCGUAGAUAUUAGGAGGAACACCAGUGGCGAAGGCGGCUUACUGGACUGUAACUGACGUUGAGGCUCGAAAGCGUGGGGAGCAAACAGGAUUAGAUACCCCAGUA
rnacentral:rRNA from 1 species